rnacentral:misc_RNA from 1 species
CACAAACCCAAAUACAGCUUUUAUCUUCUCAGAAAACAAAAAAAGCUCUCUAUUACUAUGGAUGCAAGGUGUAUUGUAUUCAAUACUCAGUAGAUAAGCGCUUGAUGAUUUUGAUUGCAUGAGUAGCAUAGCAGCGUAUCAUUACUCUGGACUUACAACACGUGUACGGUAAAAGAGUUAUUGGGGCGUCAGUGGGCAGCCAAAUUUAGGGAACAGAUAACAUCAGAAACUGCCACCAUAUAUGAAAAGUGACAGAGAGUUGAGUGUAUCCUUCAAUCACCAGUCACUACCAUGUACAGAUUUGUGGGCUGCAGAGGAAUCAGAGCCAGAGCUGCCCAGAAGGGCAUAGGUUGGCUCAGUUCAUUCACUCUUUCAAGAUCUGUUCAUUCUUUGCCUUUUGCAACAGUAGAAGCUGAGGAGAUAUCAGGUUCUCAGCCUGCGGAAGUGCAGAACUUGGUGCAGGGGAAGUGGACAGGAUCUUCAAGUUGGAAUACAAUUGUGGAUCCUUUAAAUGGAGAACCAUUCAUUAAGAUUGCUGAAGUAGAUGAAACAAGAAUUCAGCCAUUUGUGGAGAGCUUGUCCAAGUGCCCCAAGCAUGGACUGCACAAUCCCUUUAAAUCACCAGAAAGGUAUCUUUUAUACGGCGAUAUAUCUGCAAAGGCAGCCCACAUGCUUUCUGUGCCAAAGGUUUCCAAUUUCUUCACUAGGUUAAUACAAAGGGUUGCUCCAAAGAGUUAUCAGCAAGCUCUUGCUGAAGUUCAAGUUACUCAAAAAUUUCUGGAGAAUUUCUCUGGUGAUCAGGUGAUCAGUAAUUUUCAAUUACUUAAAAUAGAAAGCUUAUGGUUGGCUUUGUUUCUUAUAAAUGAGUGGAUGUGGUAUUGAUGAAACAUUAUGGUAAUUUUUUUUCCUGUGUAUGUCUUGCUCUUCAUUUGUUGGAGGAAUAUGCCCUUGACCUAAAUGCUGCACAAGCUAAAUCCAUUUUCUGUGGACAAUUUAUGCAUUUAUUUUCUGACUGAUAUAUUGGACAGGUUCGUUUCUUGGCAAGGUCUUUUGCAGUACCUGGCAAUCAUCUUGGACAGCAAAGUCAUGGUUUCCGAUGGCCAUAUGGUCCUGUAGCUAUUAUUACUCCCUUCAAUUUCCCAUUAGAGAUUCCGGUACUUCAGAUGAUGGGUGCACUAUACAUGGGCAACAAACCUGUUCUUAAAGUUGAUAGCAAGGUAUGCCUUGUUAUGGAGCAAAUGAUGCGGCUUCUUCACUACUGUGGGCUGCCAGUGGAAGAUGCAGACUUCAUAAAUUCUGAUGGAAAGACAAUGAACAAACUAUUAUUGGAGGCAAAUCCCCGUAUGACCCUCUUUACUGGUAGCUCAAGAGUUGCAGAUAAGUUGGCUGUUGACCUUAAGGGUCGUAUUAAAUUGGAAGAUGCAGGGUUUGACUGGAAAGUUCUAGGGCCUGAUGUAAAUGAGGUGGAUUAUGUUGCAUGGGUUUGUGACCAGGAUGCAUAUGCCUGCAGUGGUCAGAAGUGCUCUGCACAGUCAAUAUUAUUCAUGCAUGAGAACUGGUCAGGUACUUCACUUAUAUCCAAAAUGAAGGAUCUUGCAGAGAGAAGAAAAUUAGAAGAUCUAACAGUUGGUCCUGUUCUCACAUUUACAACUGAAGCAAUGGUAGAGCACAUGAAUAAAUUACUUCAGAUACCAGGUUCAAAGCUACUCUUUGGUGGCAAACCUCUGGAGAAUCAUUCCAUUCCAUCCAUAUAUGGUGCAAUAAAACCAACAGCCAUAUAUGUUCCUCUUGAAGAAAUUUUGAAAGAGAGCAAUUAUGAGCUGGUAACAAGAGAGAUAUUUGGACCGUUCCAGGUAAAGGAGAAAAAGAAAACUUGCUAACUUUCCUUCUUGUUUAUAUAUCUCCUUUUGGUGGAUUUUGUCAAACUUCGUACUUCUUUUUACAUUUAAGUUCUAGCUUGUUUGCUGAGGUUGUACAAGUAUCUUAACUAAACCAUGACAUAGCCUUCAAUUUUGAAAGAAGUUUAUUUGAUUUUAUGCUUUAAUAUUACUAUGCUGUGCAGAACUUGAUUGGGCCCUGUUGAUAUAUAUAUGUAUGUAUAUUGCUGAAUUUGGUAAUAAGAUAAUUGCAGUCAUGAUAAGUCCAUUUGUAACUUUUUCCAACUGGUGAAACCACUUGUGGGUUACAGGAUAGAUUAUAGGCUGAAAAUCAUAUUUCAGAUAUGAUAAUGUGCAUUUCACAUGACAUUGAAGUAUAAAACAAGGUUUGGAAAAACCACUGUUUAUUGUUUAAUACUUGAUCCUCAUGAAGGUGAGUUAUGAAUUUAUGAUCGACUGAACAGAUGAAGACUUCUCAAAUUUCUAAAUAAUCACAUGAAAAUAUUUUCUAAAGCUUAGGAUGUGAUGUGGUAAGGAUACAGUAAGUGAUUGAUAUUUCAUUUUUUUUUAUUCUGAUAUAUACUUCAUUUUCUUUUGUUGAGUGUUAUAACACGCUAUAAAUAUGCAUUCAGUUGGAACAUAUACCAAAAUUUGCUUUAGAGUUGUGGCUAUAUAUAUAAAGUAACGAAUACAUAUCGGAAGGUAUCCACAGAGUUUCAUUUUCCACUAUAAAUACAUCAUCCUAACAGAAAUAUCUGUACUCCAGGUUAAUGAGAUUAUGCAAUUUGAUGUUUCUUUCCAAACUUUACAGUAUUAUGUGAAUAAAUAUUGUUAAGACCUGGAAGCUAAAUGCUACUAACAUAAGCUAAUGUAUUUGCUUCUAGAUUAUUACUGAUUACAAGAUAGAUCAACUUCCACUGGUUUUGGAAGCUCUGGAGAGGAUGCAUGCUCAUUUAACAGCUGCAGUCGUUUCAAAUGAUCCUCUGUUUCUGCAGGCAAGGCUAGAAAGCUUCUAAAUCUCUCUCUCUGUCUCUUUGACUCUUUCCAUGGAGAUCUUUGAAGUAUUGACUGUAUCAUUACCAUCAUUAUAUUUGCAUUUAACAUUGUUAUUAUAUUUGAGACUCUAAUAUCAGAUUACUGGGGUUGACAAAGUGCUACCCUCUUAAUUUGACACUUUAAAAUGUGAUCUUUCCACCAAGAUUAUUUGUGGCAACCUUCAGGAACUUUAACCAAUCGAGUAUUUCCCCAAAUGAUAAUUCUAAAUUGGUUUUAAAUUUCAAUUUGUUUAUAAUUGACAGUGAAUUUGCAGGAAGUUAUUGGAAAAACUGUAAAUGGGACUACAUAUGCUGGAAUAAGAGCAAGAACAACUGGGGCUCCUCAGAAUCAUUGGUUUGGACCAGCAGGAGACCCAAGAGGUGCAGGAAUUGGAACACCAGAAGCCAUAAAACUAGUCUGGUCUUGCCAUAGAGAAAUAAUAUAUGAUGUUGGUCCCCUGCCAGGGCAUUGGGAAAUUCCACCAUCAACGUGAGGAGCCAAAGUUGACCACAAAGAUGGGCUUUUGUUAUGCUUGAAUCUGCAAACAAGCUACUAUAGGUGUCUUUAAUGCACCGAGUCUCCCCUCUUUUGUGAGAGUUUGAGGAAAUUUUGAAUAAGACAAUGUAGCAUCGAAUCAUUCAACCUGCUAUUACUCCUUAGCUUUUGAAAUAAAAUGAAAGAAAGUAUGUGUUAUUGACCCGAUAUUCUUCUGCAAGUUGCUCAAUCAAAGCUAA